GACGAACGCUGGCGGCGUGCCUAAUACAUGCAAGUCGAGCGGACGAUUCGAAAGCUUGCUUUUGAAUCGUUAGCGGCGGACGGGUGAGUAACACGUGGGCAACCUGCCCUGUAGACGGGGAUAACACCGAGAAAUCGGUGCUAAUACCGGAUAACACGAAAUGUCGCAUGACGUUUCGUUGAAAGGCGGCGCAAGCUGCCGCUACAGGAUGGGCCCGCGGCGCAUUAGCUAGUUGGUGAGGUAACGGCUCACCAAGGCGACGAUGCGUAGCCGGCCUGAGAGGGUGAUCGGCCACACUGGGACUGAGACACGGCCCAGACUCCUACGGGAGGCAGCAGUAGGGAAUCUUCCGCAAUGGACGAAAGUCUGACGGAGCAACGCCGCGUGAGCGAAGAAGGCCUUCGGGUCGUAAAGCUCUGUUGUUAGGGAAGAACAAGUAACGUAGUAACUGACGUUACUAUGACGGUACCUAACGAGAAAGCCACGGCUAACUACGUG
rnacentral:rRNA from 1 species